UCUGUAUUUGGAGUCUGUGUGUGUCUCUCUCGCCUGCUCUGUAUUUGGAGUCUGCGUGUGUCUCUCUCGCCCCGUGGAUUUGACUCCGGGUCCUCCGGUUUUUACCUCCACAUUUUAGAAUCGACGUUCACGCUUUUAGAGUUUCGCAGCCGCUAUGCAUUUCCAAAUGAUGACGACGAGGGCGACGGUGGUGGUGGCGGUGAUGGUGGUGGUAAGCCACUUUGUUGAGCUCUCGUUUGUGAUCCCAUCAGUGAGGCCUUACCUGGUGAAAUAAAAACGAGUUUAGUUGUUGUGGGGAGUGCGGCGCCUGGUGGAUCAACCUCCACCCCCCCCCCCCGAGCGAUGCCGAUUUUAUUUUUCGGGGUCCAGGUCGAAUUUCCGGCGUUGCUGCUGCUCUGUCAGCGCAAGCGGAAAGAUCCUCGGGGGGCCCCCACCAGCAGCACGCGGGGCGAAAUGGCGGAACCAGGUCACGUGGAACCAGGUCACACGGAACCAGGUCGUGUGGAACCAGGUCACGUGGAACCAGGUCACACUGAACCGUGUCACACGGAACCAGGUCACAUGGAAACGUGUCACACGGAACCAGGUCGCACCGCGCGUGACGCGGCACGUCGGGUGAAAGCGUCGGCCCCCUUUUAAAGUGGAGAGUUUAGCGAGUGAAUGAGAAUAAUAAAGUGCACACUGUGGCUUAUUUUUUUAAAUUGAAAGUGGGGUGCGUGACUGUGUAAAGUGUCGAUGUAAAUAAAGUGGACAAGGCAUGUCCUUGGUUUUUAAA